UACGGAGGGUGCGAGCGUUAAUCGGAAUUACUGGGCGUAAAGCGCACGUAGGCGGUCAGGCAAGUCGGGUGUGAAAGCCCUGGGCUCAACCUGGGAAUUGCAUUCGAAACUAUCUGACUCGAGUAUGGGAGAGGGAAGCGGAAUUUCCGGUGUAGCGGUGAAAUGCGUAGAUAUCGGAAGGAACACCAGUGGCGAAGGCGGCUUUCUGGACCGACACUGACGCUGAGGAGCGAAAGCCAGGGGAGCAAACGGG
rnacentral:rRNA from 1 species